CAGCUCCUUGUUCCCCUGGAUACGGCCGUGUGCAGCGCGCCUGCGCAGUGGCUACCCGAGCCGAGAGAGAAGAAGAGGAGGAGGGUCCGUGGGCAGCGCAGGUCCGGAUACAGGCGGUUCUACUACGCUCUGCCUCCCCCCCUCUUCCCGGUUGUAGCAGAGACCGCUGCACGCCGCUCCGCCGGAGCCCGCCUGCCUGACGGUGACUGAGGUAAUCCCGGCCAGGAUAUGGCUCGAGGACAUCAGAAGAUUCAAUCGCAACAGAAAAAUGCCAAGAAACAAGCAGAACAGAAGAAGAAACAAGGGCACGACCAGAAAGCUGCAGCUAAAGCCGCUCUAGUAUUCACCUGCCUUGUCUGCCGGACACAAAUGCCAGAUCCCAAAACCUUCAAGCAGCACUUUGAGAGCAAACAUCCGAAGGUCCCACUGCCUCCAGAGCUGGUUGAUGUUGAGGCAUAGAUCAAAAGGUGUGAACUUGCCUACCUGUCACCUGAUAUGUCCAGCCCUGUUAUAGAAGCUCAGAACCUGACUUCAUAGUGCAGAAGAACAAAUGGCUAUGUAGUGCUAAACCAGGGAAAUCCUUCAGUGCACCGACUGUUCUCGGGUGGUUUAUCUGAAAGGGGCUCUUGAAACCACGUUUUUAUGCUGUUCCCUUCAAGAGGGUUCAUACGGACCUCUAAAUGUACAGUUAUUUACUAAUUUGUAAAUCUCAAGUUGGGCAAUACUCAAUUUUUUACAGUUGUAAUUAUAUUGAUUUCAUGUCCAUAAUGUGUAUAAUUUGUUCAAUAAAAGGAAUACCUUGAUUUUA